rnacentral:rRNA from 1 species
UGGGGAAUAUUGGACAAUGGGCGAAAGCCUGAUCCAGCGACGCCGCGUGUCGGAAGGAGUCCUUCGGGAUGUAAACGACUUUUGGUGGAGACGAAUAAGCAGCUCAGGGAAUGGGGCUGUGAUGACGGUAUCCAUGGAAUAAGCCCCGGCUAACUACGUGCCAGCAGCCGCGGUAAGACGUAGGGGGCAAGCGCUACCCGGAAUUACUGGGCGUAAAGGGAGCGUAGGCGGAGGUCAAGUCCGGUGUGAAAGACCCUGGCUCAACCAGGGAUGAGGGCUGGAAAGUGGCAAUCUUGAGUACAGCAGAGGAAGAGGGAAUUACCGGUGUGGGGGUGAAAUCCGUAGAGACCGGUAAGAAGGCCAGUGGCGAAGGCGCUUUUCUGGGCUGUUACUGACGCUGAGGCUCGAAAGCCAGGGGAGCAAACC